rnacentral:rRNA from 1 species
AUACGGAGGGUGCAAGCGUUACUCGGAAUCACAGGGCGUAAAGCGCGCGCAGGCGGCUUGAUAAGUUGGAUGUGAAAGCCUACGGCUCAACCGUAGAACUGCAUCCAAAACUGUCAAGCUAGAGUCUGGGAGGGGAAGAUGGAAUUAGUUGUGUAGGGGUAAAAUCCGUAGAGAUAACUAGGAAUACCAAAAGCGAAGGCGAUCUUCUGGAACAGUACUGACGCUGAGGCGCGAAAGCGUGGGGAGCAAACAGGAUUAGAAACCCGGGUAGUCC